rnacentral:tRNA from 1 species
GGUCCCAUCGUUCAGUCAGGCCUAGGACUCUAGAUUGUCAAUCUAGCAACAUGGGUUCAAAUCCCAUUGGGACCGCCA